AGUAUCUGGAGCUGCGCUUCAACAAGACGGUUCGCAUAUGUGGGACUGUGACCUUCAUCUUUCAGAUGGUCAUUUAUAUGGGGGUGGUCCUGUAUGCCCCAGCCUUGGCACUCAAUGCAGUGACAGGUUUUGACCUGUGGGGGGCAGUGCUGGCCAUGGGCUUGGUGUGCACUCUCUAUACUGCUCUGG